rnacentral:rRNA from 1 species
AGUAAAAAAUAGAAUAAUAGAUUUGAAAUAUUUAUUAUAUAGAUUUAAAGAGAUAAUCAUGGAGUACAGAAUAUAUUUUAAUUAUUUAAUUAAUUAAGAUAUUAAACUAUUAAUAGAAUUAGGUUACUAAUAAAUUAAUAACAAUUAAUUUUAAAACCUAAAGGUAAACCUUAUAUUAAUAAUAUAUAUUAUAUUAUAUGUUAUUAAUAAAUAAGAACUAAGUGAACUGAAACAUCUAAGUAACUUAAGGAAAAUAAAUCAACAGAGAUAUUAUAAGUAUUGGUGAGAGAAAGUAAUAUAGUCUAAAUAAGUAUUAUGUAAUAAAUAUGUAAGAAAAUAGGAUAACAAAUUCUAAGACUAAAUACUAUUAAUAAGUAUAAAAAGUACCGUAAGGGAAAGUAUAAAAAUGAUUAUUUUAUAAGCAAUCAUAAAUAUAUUAAUUAUAUUAAUGAUGUACCUUUUGUAUAAUGGGUCAGCAAGUAAUUAAUAUUAGUAAAACUAAUAAGUUAUAAAUAAAUAGAUAAAAAUAAUAUAUAUAUAAAAAUAUAUAAAUAAUACAUAUAAAAAAAAAUAAUAUGUAAUAUUUAAUUAAUAUUAAUUGACCCGAAAGCAAACGAUCUAACUAUGAUAAGAUGGGUAAACGAUCGAACAGGUUGAUGUUGCAAUAUCAUCUGAUUAAUUGUGGUUAGUAGUGAAAGACAAAUCUGGUUUGCAGAUAGCUGGUUUUCUAUGAAAUAUAUGUAAGUAUAGCCUUUAUAAAUAAUAAUUAUUAUAUAAUAUAUUAUUUAAUAUAUUAUAUAAAGAACGGUACAGCAAUUAAUAUAUAUUGGGGAACUAUUAAAGUUUUAUUAAUAAUAUUAAAUCUCGAAAUGUUUAAUUAUCCCCGCGACACAAACCCAGCUUAGCUGGGUUUGUGACCUCGGGGAAUAUAUAAUAAAGAGUCAGAUUAUGUGCGAUAAGGUAAAUAAUCUAAAGGGAAACAGCCCAGAUUAAGAUAUAAAGUUCCUAAUAAAUAAUAAGUGAAAUAAAUAUUAAAAUAUUAUAAUAUAAUCAGUUAAUGGGUUUGACAAUAACCACUUUUUAAUGAACAUGUAACAAUGCACUGAUUUAUAAUAAAAAAAAUAAUAUUUAAAAUCAAAUAUAUGUAUAUAAUAUAUUUAUAUUUGUUAAUAGAUAAUAUACGGAUCUUAAUAAUAAGAAUUAUUUAACUGAAUAUCUAAAUAUUAUUAUUAAUCUAAAUAAUAAUAAUAAUAUGGUAAUAGAACAUUUAAUGAAAAAAUAUAUUAGUUAUUAAUUAAUAUAUAUAAUAAUUAGAUAGAGAAUGCUGACAUGAGUAACGAAAAAAAGGUAUAAACCUUUUCACCUAAAACAUAAGGUUUAACUAUAAAAGUACGGCCCCUAAUAAAAAUAUGAAUAAAAAUAUAUUAAAGAUGGGUUAAUCUAUAUUAAUAAAAUAAUAUCUUAAAAUAUAAAUAUUAAAACAUUUAUAAUUAUAAAAAUAUAUAUAUUAAUAUAUAUAUAAUUAUAUAAACUAAUAAAGAUCAGGAAAAGUGUUAGUGUAUACCGUAAUGUAGACCGACUCAGGUAUGUAAGUAGAGAAUAUGAAGGUGAAUUAGAUAAUUAAAGGGAAGGAACUCGGCAAAAACAGCUCUAAAGUUAGUCAAUAAAGAGUAAUAAGAACAAAGUUGUACAACUGUUUACUAAAAACACCGCACUUUGCAGAAACGAUAAGUUUAAGUAUAAGGUGUGAACUCUGCUCCAUGCUUAAUAUAUAAAUUAUAUGGUUUAACGAUUAUAUAAUUAAAUUUAGGUAAAUAGCAGCCUUAUUAUGAGGGUUAUAAUGUAGCGAAAUUCCUUGGCCUAUAAUUGAGGUCCCGCAUGAAUGACGUAAUGAUACAACAACUGUCUCCCCUUUAAGCUAAGUGAAAUUGAAAUCGUAGUGAAGAUGCUAUGUACCUUCAGCAAGACGGAAAGACCCUAUGCAGCUUUACUGUAAUUAGAUAGAUCGAAUUAUUGUUUAUUAUAUUCAGCAUAUUAAGUAAUCCUAUAAAUAUAUAAUAAAAAAUAUAUUUAUAAGUAAUCGUUUAGAUAUUAAUGAGAUACUUAUUAUAAUUUAAUGAUAAUUCUAAUCUUAUAAAAAAUAAAAAUAAUAUAAUAUAAUUAUUAUAUUAAACUUAAUAGAUAUAUAAUUCUUAAGUAAUAUAUUAUAUAUAUAUAUUAAUUUAUAUAUUAUAAUAUAAAUAAGAGACAAUCUCUAAUUGGUAGUUUUGAUGGGGCGUCAUUAUCAGCAAAAGUAUCUGAAUAAGUCCAUAAAUGAAUAUAUAAAAUUAUUGAAUAAAAGAAUGAUAUAUAUUAUAUAUAUUAAUUAUAAAUUUAAAUAUAUUUAUAUUAAUAAUUUAAUUAUAAAUUGAAUAUAUUUAAGUAAUAGAUAAAAAUAUGUACAGUAAAAUUGUAAGGAAAACAAUAAUAAAUUCUAUUAUAAUAUAGAAAAUCAAUUAAAUAAUAUAAUGGUAUAACUGUGCGAUAAUUGUAACACAAACAAGUGAAACAAGUACGUAAGUAUGGCAUAAUGAACAAAUAACACUAAUUGUAAAGGUUAUUGAUAACGAAUAAAAGUUACGCUAGGGAUAACAGGGUAAUAUAACGAAAGAGUAGAUAUUGUAAGUUAUGUUUGCCACCUCGAUGUCGACUCAACAUUUCCUCUUGGUUGUAAAAGCUAAGAAGGGUUUGACUGUUCGUCAAUUAAAAUGUUACGUGAGUUGGGUUAAAUACGAUGUGAAUCAGUAUGGUUCCUAUCUGCUGAAGGAAAUAUUAUCAAAUUAAAUCUCAUUAUUAGUACGCAAGGACCAUAAUGAAUCAACCCAUGGUGUAUCUAUUGAUAAUUCUAUAAUAUAUAUCUUAAUUAAUUAAUUAAUUUCUAUAUAUAUUAUCUAUAUUAGUUUAUAUUAUAAUUAAUUGUCAUAGUAGAUAAGCUAAGUUGAUAAUAAAUAAAUAUUGAAUACAUAUUAAAUAUGAAGUUGUUUUAAUAAGAUAAUUAUCUGAUAAUUUAAUACUAAAAUUUAAAUAUUAUUCAUAUAUAUUCUAUAUAUUUGUUUAAUUAAUAGGUUUUAUAUAUUAUUUAUAUAUUUAAUAUAUAAUAUUAAUAAAAUACUAAUUUAUCAGUUAUCUAUAUAAUAUCUAAUCUAUUAUUCUAUACCCC